GGGCAACCUACCCUAUAGUUUGGGAUAACUCCGGGAAACCGGGGCUAAUACCGAAUAAUUUAUUUGACCUCAUGGUGAAAUACUGAAAGACGGUUUCGGCUGUCGCUAUAGGAUGGGCCCGCGGCGCAUUAGCUAGUAGGUGAGGUAAUGGCUCACCAAGGCGACGAUGCGUAGCCGACCUGAGAGGGUGAUCGGCCACACUGGGACUGAGACACGGCCCAGACUCCUACGGGAGGCAGCAGUAGGGAAUCUUCCGCAAUGGACGAAAGUCUGACGGAGCAACGCCGCGUGAGUGAUGAAGGUUUUCGGAUCGUAAAGCUCUGUUGUCAGGGAAGAACAAGUACCGUUCGAAUAGGGCGGUACCUUGACGGUACCUAACCAGAAAGCCACGGCUAACUACGUGCCAGCAGCCGCGGUAAUACGUAGGUGGCAAGCGUUGUCCGGAAUUAUUGGGCGUAACGGGCUCGCAGGCGGUUUCUUAAGUCUGAUGUGAAAGCCCCCGGCUCAGCCGGGA
rnacentral:rRNA from 1 species